rnacentral:misc_RNA from 1 species
UCAAACUUGGUCAUUUAGAGGAAGUAAAAGUCGUAACAAGGUUUCCGUAGGUGAACCUGCGGAAGGAUCAUUACCGAGCGCGCCCCCCGUAAAAAAGGGGGCACCUCCCGUCCUUUGCCGGCCCCCCCAACUCGGGGGGCUUUUACGUUCUGCCUUGGCGGGGUCCCCCCCGCCAGAGGACCCUCAAGAAACUCUGGUCUAAACCGUUCGGUCCGAGCAUUCUUUACAAAAUUGAAGCAAAACUUUCAACAACGGAUCUCUUGGUUCUGGCAUCGAUGAAGAACGCAGC